rnacentral:rRNA from 1 species
GGAAGUUGACGGGGCCCGCACAAGCGGUGGAGCAUGUGGUUAAUUCGACGCAACGCGAAGAACCUUACCAGGGCUUGACAUCCCCUGACCGCGUAUGAAAGACGUUUCACCCUCGGGUGACAGGGAGACAGGUGGUGCAUGGUUGUCGUCAGCUCGUGUCGUGAGAUGUUGGGUUAAGUCCCGCAACGAGCGCAACCCUUAUCCCUAGUUGCCAUCAGGUAAAGCUGGGAACUCUGGGGAGACUGCCGGUGAUAAACCGGAGGAAGGCGGGGAUGACGUCAAGUCCUCAUGGCCCUUACAUCCCGGGCUACACACGUGCUACAAUGGCAGGUACAGAGGGCUGCGAAGCCGCGAGGUGGAGCGAAUCCCAGAAAACCUGUCUCAGUCCGGAUUGAAGUCUGCAACUCGACUUCAUGAAGGCGGAAUCGCUAGUAACCGCGAAUCAGCAGGUCGCGGUGAAUACGUUCCCGGGCCUU